ensembl:lncRNA
GAUGGUUCAUCCUGUGGAUCUCUGAGCAGUGAUGAUGGAGAGCAAUCAGGCUGACAGUCAAUUAAAAACUAUGAUAACAGACUGAAUGGACCACUAGUUGACAAGCACUGAAGAGAAAGUGACUUUUUGUCUUUGAAGAACUAAUGUAUCUGGAAUAUUCUAGCUGAAAUAUCAUGAAAAGGAACACAUGAUGGAUUGUGGUCAGUUUUUAAAGUGCUUAUGGUGUCCAUUUAUCUAAUAAUACUUCUUGAGCAACCACUUCUUUAUCACAUACUGCUUUAACUGAAUGGCUAUUGUUUUGCUGUCAUUGGUUCAUAGAACAUGCUUUUUUGUCUUUGUAAUACUAGUAGUAUUUCAGCUGUUAACUUUUACAAGGGAUUUCUUUGGAAUUUACACAUCAUUCUCACCAUGUCAUGUUGACUCUCUUGAUGACCCCAUAUUGAUGACCCCAUCUCUUGAUGACCCCAUAUUCCCAUGAAAUGAAAUAUUUUUUUCUUCAAAUUACACACAUUUAACACUGUUUAUAAUGUACCGGUACACAUGUCAAACUCAAACAACUGACUAUAGAAACACUUGUUCCCAUCAGUAUUCUCUGCAGGCUCAGGACAACUUGUCAGUGGCACUGACAUAAUUUCUUGCCCAGAUUUAUAGAUAAAUUAGGGAUCAACUAUUGAUGUCCAGGUGGGAUAGCAGAGGAGCAGCAAGUUACUUAAUAUUUUUUUCCCAUUUUUCCCCAGCCUUGUACUAUAUUGCUGUGAAAAAUGUCUGGAAAGGGAGAAAACCACUAAAUUGGAAUAAUUUAAGGGGUCCAUCUGGCAUUUUCAACUCAUCAGAAACCAGUGUCUUCAGACUUCUCCAGUUGUUCUAAUAGUCAACAUAUUAAUUUACAAUAUUCAUUACAAACCAUGUAUAUUAUUGAGAUCUUUCUUUUCUGUGAAAACUGAAUGAGCAAUUUUGCUUAGGGCUAGGUUCUAUAAGAACUGCGGUUAACAACAUCUGCAUAGUGGUUGUUUUGGCAAUGUUGUUUUGGGGGGGGCCUUCAUGAUGAGUUCAGAUUUUUGUGGCCCCCACCCCCAUCAAAGUUGCCCAUCCCUGUUCUAUUGUCUAUUGGCUAUUGUCUACACUUCAAACAGGCUAUAAAUAUCCCCAUUCAAAUGAACAUGAAAACAUAAAACAUUAGCCUGUCAUUAUUUCUAUCAUCGAUAGCGCCUACACUUUCUAUCGCCGUUUUGAACACACGAGCAGCCGCUCUCCAAUUUGUCAACUCAACCUGCGUUGGCCGUAACUGCAGUACAACUCUUGAUCUGAUUGAAUCACAGUCUAUCUUUUUAACAUGUCAAUAUGGUGAGACUUUCUUUGAAACCACUGUCAUCAAUGUUAGUUUUGUUCAUUGUCCACACUUUUUGGGUUAUAUUUAGUUUUUUAUAUUAAACCCAAUGUAUAUCAUUCUCACUGAAAAGCUAUUUAUUAUAGGAUCAGUGCCAUUUUUGUAGAGAAUUUAGUACUUUUUCCUGUAUUUCUCCAGCAGCUGGUUUGAACAUCAACUCACGCUGAUGUUGUGCAAUCAGAAGAAAUGGGAACAACCUCCUUCAAUGGAAUGUGAAUCCUGACACCGCAGACACCGCCAUGACUAAACAUUGUGACCAUCGGUUAAGCAUCAGAUAACAUUGUUGUGUAGGUCACCCUGUUGAACUGAACACUCCUCUACCAUAGCCCCCCUCCGCUGUCCUGAGCACAAAUGUGUCACAAAUGGGUUACAUACAAUAUCAGUAAACAAAUUAUUCAUUGAGAUAUUCUUUAUUUACAUUUGGGUAGUCAUUUAAUUAUAACCUCUGUGUUUAUUCAUGUAUGUGACAUAAAACAAUAAAAGGUUAAGGAAUUUUUUAAAAGUUAGUUAUUAUUUUUCGGAAGUUUAAAAAAAAGUUGUUGUAAAGUAUAUGCAGACCUGCAUGCAGGUGUGAAGUUUAGAUGUGAGUCUUUAAGAUUUGAGAUUCUUCAAAGUAGCCACCCUUUGCCUUGACGACAGCUUUGCACACUCUUGGCAUUCUCUCAACCAGCUCCACCGGGAAUGCUUUUCCAACAGUCUUGAAGGAGUUGCCACAUAUGCUGAGCACUUGUUGGCUGCUUUUCCUUCACUCUGCGGUCCAACUCAUCCCAAACCAUCUCAAUUGUGUUGAGGUUGGGUGAUUGUGGAGGCCAGGUCAUCUGAUGCAGCACUCUAUCACUUUCCUUCUUGGUCCAAUAGCCCUUACACAGCCUGGAUGUGUGUUGGGUCAUUGUCCUGUUGAAAAACAAAUGAUAGUCCCACUAAGCGCAAACCAGAUGGGAUGGUGUAUUGCUGCAGAAUGCUGUAGAAGCCAUGCUGGUUGACUGUGCCUUGAAUUCUAAAUAAAUCACAGACAGUGUCACCAGCAAAGCACCCCCACACCAUGCAGAGAUCAUCCAUUCACCUACUCUGCGUCUCACAAAGACACAGCGGUUGGAACAAAAAAUCUCCAAUUUGGAUUCAUCAGACCAAAGGACAGAUUUUCACCAGUCUAAUGUUCAUUGCUCAUGUUUCUUGGCCCAAGCAAGUCUCUUCUUCUUAUUGGUGUCCCUUAGUAGUGUUUUCUUUGCAGCAAAUCGACCAUGAAGGCCUGAUUCACGCAGUCUCCUCUGAACAGUUGAUGUUGAAAUGUGUCUGUUACUUGAACUCUGUGAAGCAUUGAUUUGGGCUGCUUUUUCUGAGGCUGGUAACACUAAUGAACAUAUCCUCUGCAGCAGAGGUAACUCUGGGUCUUCCUUUCCAGUGGCGGUCCUCAUGAGAGCCAGUUUCAUCAUAGAGCUUGAUGGUUUUUUGACUGCACUUGUAGAAAUGUUCACGUCUUAAAGUAAUGAUGGACUGUCGUUUCUCUUUUCUUAUUUGAGCAUUUCUUGCCAUAAUGUGAAAUUCCACAAAUUAACUUUUAACAAGGCACACCUGUUAAUUGAAAUGCAUUCCAGGUGACUACCUCGUGAAGCUGGUUGAGAGAAGGUCAAGAGUGUGAAAAGCUGUCAUUAAGAGAAAGGGUGGCUACUUUGAAGAAUAUCAAAUAUAUUUUGAUUUGUUUAACACUUUUUUGGUUACUACAUGAUUCCAUAUGUGUUAUUUUAAGGUUUUGAUGUCUUCACUAUUAUUCUACAAUGUAGAAAAUAGUGAAAACAAAGAAAAACGCUUGAAUGAGUAGGUGUGUCCAAACUUUUGACUGGUAUUAUAUAGUAAGUGGUAUAGCUUUACAAUAGGCUGAAUUUACAAACUUACGUUUCACUAUGGCAUCUUUAUGUGAUGAAAACCAUUUGAUCCAUGUUGAGGAAGGAACUAACGUGACCAAAAAAAGCUUCAAGGAGGACGUGGCUUGACAGACAAAAUGGUCAUAUUACAAAUACUACAAGUAUCCCUGGAGUAACAUUGAAGCGAGGAUAUCAUUCAAGCACACUCUCUAGACCAGUAACACCAGACAUUAUUUAAACUAUUGGAUCAAGGUACAGACUUACUGCCACGCUCUGAUCUGUUUCACUUGUCCUUGUGCUUGUCUCCACCCCCUCCAGGUGUCGCUCAUCAUCCCCGGUGCAUUUAUCCCUGUGUUUUAUGUCUCUCUGUGCAAGUUUGUCUUGUUUGCCAAGUCAACCAGCAUUUAUCUCCUAGCUUCUGUUUUUCCCAGUGUCUGUUUUUCCUAGGCCUCCUGGUUUAGACCCUUGCCUGUCCUGGCCAGUCUUCCUGCCCUGACCUCGAGAUUGUCUAAUGCCCUGUACUGUUUGGACUCUGACCUGGUUUAUGGACUCUCGCUUGUACCCAACCUGCCUUUUGCCUACCCCUGGUGUUAUAAUAAAUAUCGGAGUUCAACC